rnacentral:rRNA from 1 species
GACGAACGCUGGCGGCGUGCUUAACACAUGCAAGUCGAACGGAAAGGCCCUGCUUUUGUGGGGUGCUCGAGUGGCGAACGGGUGAGUAACACGUGAGUAACCUGCCCUUGACUCUGGGAUAACUUCAGGAAACUGGGGCUAAUACCGGAUAGGAGCUCCUGCUGCAUGGUGGGGGUUGGAAAGUUUCGGCGGUUGGGGAUGGACUCGCGGCUUAUCAGCUUGUUGGUGGGGUAGUGGCUUACCAAGGCUUUGACGGGUAGCCGGCCUGAGAGGGUGACCGGCCACAUUGGGACUGAGAUACGGCCCAGACUCCUACGGGAGGCAGCAGUGGGGAAUAUUGCACAAUGGGCGGAAGCCUGAUGCAGCAACGCCGCGUGCGGGAUGACGGCCUUCGGGUUGUAAACCGCUUUCGCCUGUGACGAAGCGUGAGUGACGGGAAUGGGUAAAGAAGCACCGGCUAACUACGU